rfam:Oryza barthii chromosome 5, whole genome shotgun sequence.
GAUAUCAACUGAAAAAGUCAUCAACAACAAAGUUGAAUAACUCAUCAAGAUCUAAAACUUUUAUUUUAGUCAUUUCUUCAUACGACAAAGUGAUUGUAACACUGUUCACAAAAUUGACAUAUCUCUUAUCUGGUUUUAUAAACUAUAACACAUAUAUGUAAAAUUUGUGAAUGAUAUUACUAACAUUUCGUCGGAUGAAGAAAUAACAAAAAUAAAAGUUUUAGAUCUUGAUGAGUUAUUCAACUUUGUUGUUGAUGACUUUUUCAAUUGAAAUC